rnacentral:rRNA from 1 species
UACGGAGGGGGCUAGCGUUGUUCGGAAUUACUGGGCGUAAAGCGCACGUAGGCGCUCUGCAAGUUAGAGGUGAAAGCCCGGGGCUCAACUCCGGAAUUGCCUUUAAAACUGCAUCGCUAGAAUUGUGGAGAGGUAAGUGGAAUUCCGAGUGUAGAGGUGAAAUUCGUAGAUAUUCGGAAGAACACCAGUGGCGAAGGCGACUUACUGGACACAUAUUGACGCUGAGGUGCGAAAGCGUGGGGAGCAAACAGG